AUGCAGAUCAAUUAUUCAAGGCUUAUGCAAAAUUUGCAAAAGACCACAGCAUUUCAUUCUUCUGUUACCACCACUACAAUUCAUUAUUUAUCAGACAGAAUGUUCAACUUCAAAAAAAGCAACACUGCAUACAAAGUUGCAGGCCUAACACUAACUAUGAAAACUUGCCAGACAUUUUGCUCAGUCUUUUCAGAAACUACUACUAUGUAG